rnacentral:rRNA from 1 species
UACGGGGGGUGCAAGCGUUGUCCGGAAUCAUUGGGCGUAAAGCGUUCGUAGGCGGUAUGUCAAGUCUGAUGUUAAAGCCCGGGGCUCAACUCCGGUUCGGCAUUGGAUACUGGCAAACUAGAAUGUGGUAGAGGUAAAGGGAAUUCCUGGUGUAGCGGUGAAAUGCGUAGAUAUCAGGAGGAACAUCGGUGGCGAAAGCGCUUUACUGGACCAUUAUUGACGCUGAGGAACGAAAGCCAGGGGAGCAAAUG